AAGAAAACUCAGUUACUAACAUGGCAGCUUUGCCUCUCUGCAUGUAGCUUGCAGCAAGGCUGAGCUGGCAUGGAUGGAUUCAGAGGGAAAAGGAGAUAUGGCUGGUUCAUGAUGGGACAGAGUAGUUUCUUCAGCUCAGGGGCUAUGUUCAACGCAACCAAAUGUGUGUGUGCACAUCCCAGACCAGCACACCCUGGCCGGGUGGCACCUUGUUCAGCAGUGAUGCAAAUGGCAAAGUUGGGGAUGCCAACAAUGGUGAAGUGGGGAAGCAGUGGCAUGAGUGGGAAGAGAGGAUGACUCUUCGUCUCUCCCUUCAUGGGCACAGCUGGUUUAUGGAGAAAGAGAGGCUGACUGCAAGCAGCACUGGCUUUUUUCAAAAGGAAAGGCAGCUUUUGUGUGCCAGUAGAGGUAUAGCUGGGUAAAGUCAGUGGUGUUCUACUAUAGGAAUGUUGGGUGCAAGGGGCAAGGUCACUGCUCCUAACAGGCAGAGAAUAGCCAGCGGAUGCUCUCCAAACUGAACUUUGCAUUUCUGCCCACUCAAACAUGCCUGGUCUGCUAUCAAGACAGAUGUGGAGCUGAUUCCCCGCUCCUUCAUGAGACCCUGUCUCAAUCCUGGUACUCCUCUAGGGCUACAUGGCAGCUCUCAAGGCAGGAAAGCAGCCAGCUCAAGUCCAAGGGGAUGCCAGGAUGGGGUGACAGGGGCCCCAGCCUGGGGUCCCCAGGAUUCCCAGCAGCCUCUGAAGGCAUGUGUGGCAGCAGCAGCUCUCAAGUGCAACCCAAGCACUGGGGAGAAGGAGUAGCUGCCCCCCACAGCUGUCUUGCACCUUGUGUGUGGCCUUAUGUCUGACCCAUCUCAGCUGUGUGGCACUGCACAGCAGCCAGCCAUGCCCUUCCUGGGGUCUCUGUAUCCAGAGCAGCUUCCCUACACCUGAACCCAGCAGCCCCUGCAUCCCAGGUCCACCAGCAUCUCCAGUGCAGCUCUGCAGUCACAGUGACAUGGGAGCUCACGUGCUGAUAAGCAGCAAAGCUGAGGCACCUCACGAGGUCUGCAUUGUCAAAUUGCCACCACUGUCACUACCCCACCUGGCUCAGGCCAGCAUGUCUCUGCUGCAGCCAUGACUUCUGACAGCAAGGGGACAAUCCUUGAAAUCUAAGGCACUGCAGCUCUAUUGGAUUUGGGCAGAUGUGCAACUGUAUUAUUAAAAUUGUCUUAACAUGCUCAGAUGUCAAAUGCUAAGUACAGUAACUGACAUGGGGCAUUUCUCUUCUGUGCUGCAUGUCUGAGUAGGCAGAGGGAAAUCUGCCUUGAAUAUUGAGCAAUUAUCACAGAACAAGCAACAUCCUGCAAAAAAACACUGUUUGAGAUUCUUCUUAUCUAGGCAUGAUUUAUGGCUCCUGAGCUUUACUCUAUCCUUGGAAACAUACGGCUUCAACAAAAUAAAAUUAACUUUUCCAAAGAGAGGCUGGUAUCACUUUCUGUCACAGUUGCAAAUGAGAUAAUACAACCUAGGGUGCCCUGACUAAUCAAGAAAACACCAGCAGCACAGUUGUUCCUUGUAACAGCUUGACAUCUGAUAUUAAUGGCUCUUUUGUGCUUUUUAUACACCUUUCCUCUCACAAAGCACUGUAAGACUCAAUAAUUAAGCUGCAGAAUAAGUAGGUAAAAGCUGAGAUGUGGCAGGCAGUGAAUAUGACUGUGUGUGCCAGGAGAGGGGAUUGUUUUACUCCAGUGAGAUGCACUGGAGUGCAGCAUGAUAGCCAGUUUUUAUACAGAAAUCACAGCGCAGCAGCACAGUUCUUCACAGCUCACAGGGAGAAACUCCCUCUUGUGCAGGGCCAGUCCCUGGCCUGGCUUCAUCACAACUUCCUUACCUUUCCUGAAAGGGCUAAUUAUACUCCACUGAAAGUAUAGAGAUCCUGUGAUGAGUAAACCAGAUGUUGGUUUUGCAGGUACCUGUGUUUUGCAGGUACCUCUCUUUGGGCAGAUGAAGCCCUGCAACUGAAUCUGCAUCUGUCUCAAGUCUGCAGGAGCUGGUGAGGCACUGGUACAUGUUGCCUGGAGAAGCUGUGGAUGCCCCAUCACUGGAAAUGGUCAAGGUCAAGUUGGCAGGUUGGCUGGGGCUUUGAUCAGCGUGGUCUAGUGGAAGAUGUCCCUGCCUUAACCAGAUCACCCAGAGGCUCGACAGAGGGGUAUCUGCACCUCGAGGUGACCCUUGUCACUGCUGCAUCCACCCUGGGGCUGGGCAUCCAUAAUGGCAGAGGAACUCAGUAACCCUGGCAGGACAGCCCCUCAGUCUCAGGCCCUCUGGGUCACACCUCUGCUGCCACUGCACGUUUUGGAGCUACUCACCUUGUGUGGAACUCCAUCAGCAGCUCUGUCCCUCCCUCUUGUCAGGGAGCUGCUCCUGCUCAGCAGGGAAUCGAGCCGUACUUGCUCAAAGGUUAUCUCUCCAGCAUAGUCAGUGCCAGAAAAUGGAAAAGGUACUGGAAAAUAAAUACCAGUGCAACUCGUUUGGCCAGGAGGGAUUGUCUGGGAGCAAGGAGUGUGAGGUGUGUCUGGGGUGUGUGUGUAUUAGUGAGGUUGCAAUACUGUGGUUUGGCAUGGGAUGACUUCUCUCUGCUGCACAGACUUCUGGGCUGUUGGACUUACUUUGGUGGAUCUCACACUGGGUAACAUCUGCUAUUGAUUUCCACAGAACCGGUGUUUCCAGCCAAGCAGAAACGCCUAAAGACUUUCCAGUGGUGUUAGUGUUACAGCUGGUUGGAAAAUCUCCAAGGAAUUAUAUUCUGUCAGAACAGGGUGAUUUAUCAUACAGGGCUCUUUUCACAGCAAUUUACCAUUUUUAGUGGAAAAUAUUUUUCAGGUCCAGGUUGGAACAAGGACAGGAAACAUCCAAGAGCAGCCCAGGAUCUGGAUUAGUGGUUUGGAUGUGGACAUUCAGCACCCACUCCUGCCUUACAGCAGGUUUGGCAUGUGAACGUGGCUCUCUCCAUUUCAGAAGCAUAUCCUUCAGCCAUGGCCCGUCUUAGCAUAUGUGUCAUUUUCUUCCAGGGUAAAAAAACCCUGUCUCCUUUCCAAAAAUGCUGAAAUUGUGACAAUAUUCCUGAGAGGUAGAAGCCAUUUUCUACUGAGCCAGCAGCACAGUUGCAUGCAAAACUGAAGCAGAGGCAUCGAGUUCUUCUGCAGUAUCACCUUUAUGAAUAAGUUGAUGUUUUAAGCUAAUUUAAUAUGGUGAAGAAUGGACUUCUGCAGCAGAUGGCAUUGUGUGACUUUUCCAAAUCCCCAGUACCUGCUGGUAAAAGGUGGUUAUGGACCAAUGCCAGGAGCUGCAGCAGGUGGGCAGGACUGUGCUGUUGGGCAGGGGAGGAAAUGUGGAAGAAGAACAUCAGACCAGAUAAAAGGAAGAAAUUUCUUUUAAAAUGAGGGUAAAUCACAGGGUAAACCCUGGUACAGGUUGUCUAGAGAGGUAGUAGGUGCUCCAGCCCUGGAAACAUUCAAGGUUAGGCUGGAUGGGACUCUGAGUGACCUGAUCUGGUUGAAGAUGUCCCAGGUUGAACUAUGUAGCCUUUAAAGGUCCCUUGCAACCCAAACAUUCUACGAUUCUGUGAAACCAAGUGGCCACCAGCUAAACAGUGGACAGUAAGGGCUGAGAAAUGGUCUCUGCUUGAUUCUGACACCAACCAUCUGCUGAGAUGCCUGAAGCAGCUCCAGAGGGAUGAUACAAUAGACUCAUGGAGACAUCACUUUCUGGAUUUAUGUUAUCUAAAUGUAGGCAUUUAAAAUUUCUUCUCUGCAGGCACAGGAGUCCCUUUGUUCAGUACAAAUGCCUCACCUGGCUUUCAGCUGGGCACCUCAGCUGGGUGCCUAAAGCUGGGACCAAUAAAGCUUAGCUCGGGUUGGUGGCUGAUGGGGCUUGUCCCACCCUUGAAGACCCUUGAGGGGUCCACUGACAUCGUUCACCCAGAUGAUGGUACAGGUGGGAUGCUCUUUCCCACAGCCCCUUGGAAGGCCCUUGGGUCACUAAAUCCUUCUAUGCAGGUAGGACUAAUAUCAGGGUCUGAUGCCUCCUGAGUGCCGCUGGAAAUGACCCACAGCGCUCACAGCCACAUUUGGGUGGUGGUGGGGGUUGUGUGUGGCCCUAUUGAAACAGAAGGGAUUAACCACUUUGUGCACCUCAGCCACAUGGCUUGGCCUGACCUGUGUGUAAUGAAUCCAGCCCCCAAAGAACUUCGCCCACAGUUUUUUGAGUUCACGGAAAACAUGCGUAUUUGUGGGGUGGAUGAGUUCACCCCUCACCCUCAGGCACCUGGAGGAGUUAACUGUACACCUUUGCUCUGGAGAUGACAGCCUGCACUUGAAAACACCACUGCAUUCUGCAAAAAUGAGACCCCAUUUCCAGCUGUGAACAGAUGCAGCUGUUCAACACUGAGCACAUUCCCUCAACACGUUCUGCUGGCACUGCUGUGACUCCUGUGGACACAGCACCGGGGGCUUUGGACCUCUGUGGCUGUGGGGAUUUGCACUCAGGUCUACUAACCAGAGCUGGUAAUGAUGCUUCCAACUGAACUGCUCCUGUUCCUGUUUUUCACAAAAAAUGUAUUUUUGUUGUUUUGUUUUUUCAUCAGGAAAAAAAAAAGAAAAAAUGCCUAGGGGUUACCUUAAAUCUAAUACCAUGUUUUCAGCCAAUCUUUUCAGCAUCACUGUGCUGUAUUGCAGAUGUGAGGGCAGUUUCAUCUUCUGCGAGCUAAACGCUGCAUCCCAACUGUGAUUCCCCUGACGUGGAGGAUGGAGGCGGAUCUGAGUCCCUCAGGAGAUGAUUCAGGGCAGAUGUCACCCUCUGGUGGAGUCUCUGCCUUUCUCCACGGGUUGCAGAGGAAGCCAGGAGAGAUUAGCUAGGUCAUUUUGCAAGGCAAAUUUAAUGCCUGUAUUCAGGCAGCAUCAUCUCCCCAGCCCAGCCCUUCUGGUGCUUUCAGAGAUGCUGGGACAUAUCGGCAUGGGAGAGGAGGUCUGGGCUGAAGCUAAGCCCUCCUCCAUGGGUCUGCACACUGUGGCAGCAAACUGCUGGGAAUCUCCUUCCUGGGCAAGUCAACACUGAAUGUUGGAGGUCAUCGCUCCUAAGACACUUCCAUUUUGACUGAAAUCACGUUUUGUUGCAUUUGUUAUAUCUAGUUUUUGGCAACGUUUUAUUGCCUGGAUAUACUGAUACUCUGAAGACCAGCCCCAGGCAGGAGGAGAAGGAGGAGAAAGAGGGCACUUUCCUGCAGGUCAGAAACCUUCCAGUUUUGCUGCAAGGGCCUGAAAAAAGCCUGGGAAAAAAAACCACAUGGAAGAUGUGGAGGGUUUUAAUUUAGCAGGAAAUACAAAUGCAGUGAUCAUCUUCCUGUAUAUAUUGAAAAGCUAACAAAAAAUCAAUGAUAUUUACAUGAGCUCAUUAGCAUUAUGAAUGAUGUUAUUUAAAACUUAUGUAAUUCUAGCCUGGGCUUGUAGAGCCUCUGCUCCUCUUCCCAGGUGCCUUGCCAGGUAACUCCAAUCAUGAUCUAAUUAAAAGUUUUUGGGGGAGUUUCCAUGCUCCCACAUUGCCUAUAAUUUGGUCUAAUCUAGUGCGUAGUGCUGAAAUGAAGUCGUGCAGGUGGGUGCACUUCAGUUAAUGUACACUUGGUAGAGUGGAUCCACUGAUGGCUCUGCACAGGGGUCCAGGGCUGGUCACCAUUUCUUCCCAUGCUAUGGCACAAGGAGCCUGAGGUGAUGCUGGGAAGAAGCAAAGGAGACCCCGGCACAAGCGGAAAUCCAACCCUACAGCUGUGGGCUUGCUCGGGCCAUGAGUGGGCAGCCAGUCUCUGCUGGCAGUGGCACACCACUCUGCUGGCCACCCUGCCCUGCUCAUGGCUUCUUGGCUCCAACCAGGAGGCUGGGAGUGCCCACGCUCCCAGUUGAUGGUCAUGGGGCACACCAGGGUGUCUCCCUGUGCUCCAUGAGGAGGGGAGGAACCUGGGGAGGCUUGGGCUUAGCCCAUCCAGGUGUCUCCCCAUGGAUGUGCUGCCCAUGCAGGGCUGCCUACCCUUAUCCCAGCCAUGGCCCUUUCCCAGGUCCCAGGGGCAUCUCACAGUGGUCACCUAUGGGCUGCAGGGAAGUUUGUCCCGCAGGCACUUGGUGUGGGCAAAUGAGCAUCCCUGUGAUGUGGUCCCUGGUCUGCCACCGCCCUUUGGUCUCUGGUGUGAGAGCAGGAGGCAGGGGGUAGAUGGCAGCAGAGUGGUGGCCCAGGAGGAUGGUCAAAAAUGUCUUGGGGAAUCACCAACACACAGAUGUUUUUGGCUUUGGAUUUCCUGGGGGAAACCAGCUGGAGAGGUGAGGAUGCGGUGUGGGGGAGCAGGGCUGUCCUCUGCCUAUGCUGGGUACCCCCAUCUGAGCACUCACACCACAUGCUGGGUGAAGGAGCAGGGACCAAGAUCAGGGCAGGGCUCACUUGAGGGCACUGUCCUGCCCUGCUGCUCACCCAUGCUCUGGGACUUCUAGGAACUAAAUCAGGAAUUCCACAGCAGCCCUUGGCUUUGAGGAACAGUGCAAGAUUUUUUUCUUUUUCACGAUGUUGCUGGAGACAUGGUCACCCUCCCAGUCCUGAGCUGCUCUGGCACCUGGGGGUGACAGCCACACGACUGGUGAGGGGGCAGGAAGUUCUGCCUGGACCUAAGAUGACAAAUACUUUCAGUGUUUUGGAACUCCCACUGAAAGCAAAUAAAGAAGCACUUUAUACAUGUACAGAUAUUUAUAUAUGUACAUGUAUUUAUUUUAUUGUGAUCACUGCAUCCUGCAGCUGGAGGUAAAGUUACACCCGAAAGGUCUGCAGCUUGUGUUAACUAGUUUUGUCUUUCUGAGGGGAAAUGAUCAUCUUCCCCAGGACAAACUUCCCUGGUGAUCCCUCAGCACUAAGUCACCCUUCUCUGGGGCUGGAUGGGGCAGAGCACAGGACUGGGGGACCUGGGGGGCAAUUUGACUGCUAGAUAAGCUUGGCACUGCCCUGAGCACCCUCAGCACACAUUUCCUCUCACUGCUUCACAGGCCCUUCCUGUUUUUAUGGCUCUCACCAGCUUCUGCUCUGGGGUUUGCCCAGGUCUCCCUGGAAGAGGGAUUAAAUAAUCUCUGUGUUAAAUAAUACAUAGACUAAAACCCACUACAAAGGCACGGAGAGGAAAGACACUUUGAGGACUGGAUUUUGUCCCAAAACACAGGAUGUUCUGCUCCAGAGAUGUGUUCCCCAGCAUGGGGCAAAUGAUGACUCAAACAGGAGGCAGGUUUUAUGCAUUUUAUUUAACCAAUGAAAUUCCUACUGAUAACAAUGAAAGUAAUUUCAGCAAGUAUAAAUGCGAUACAGUUUUAAACAAACCCCAUUGUUCCGUACCUAUAAAUAGAUUUUUCAAAACCUCAUAAAAAGUGCAGAUUUAUGAAUUGCUGUUAAAAUGUUAAUACAUGAUUCCUUUGUUUAAAAAUG